UUUUACAAGCACGGGAGCAGCCAAACCUUUGACCGUCUGAAGACAGUAACAGUGUCUCUCUCUUUAGCCUUCUCUCCUUCUGGUCACACUGGAGACCUCUCACCCCAGAUCUUUCGGCCACUUCCUGUGUCAUGAUUUCUAGAUUCUUCUCGACUGUCCUCCAGGGAACACACUCUCACUUCCACGGCCAUUCUUGAAACGGCCAGAACGUAUGACAGCACUCCAAGUGUGGUUUGAACAGCUCAGCUUGCAACACCACUGGAUACUAUAAUUCCAGGGAUGCAAUUUAACAUUUCAUUAAACUUACAGCACACUAAGUUUGCACUCAAUUCAGACUCCCAAAUCUCUUUUGCCAAACUGGUGCCAAGAUGAAUCUUUCCCAACGAAUGCUUGUGUAACUGACUUUGGAUCCAGAACAGAUGUGCCACGCAGCUGUCACGGGCUGUGAAAUCACCGAGUACAUCGUCAGGCACGUACAGGAGCUAAAUCCAGGAGCCAACAACCCUUGGGAGGUUACCCAGCUGGAUGGCACAGCGAGCCAGUGCCCUUUCCUGCCUUGGAUGGCUUUCGAGGGCAAUCUCCAAGCAAUCCUGACAUCUGCGUUGUGCCUCUCUUCACCCAGACCAAACUCUUUGCAGGCUCUACUCGGAAAACCAACCAAACAAACAAACAGACAGCCUGUGUUCUUCCUUCAAACCCCCAGCCUUCUGCAGAGGGGCAGGACACUUCCAGGGACCUCAGCAGCCACAGCGCCAAUCUGGAAUCGCCCAUGGCCGAAUCUCCCUUCUCUGUCACCUGAGUUUCUGCGAAAGCCCUGGGUUGUGCUGACUGGAGUUGGGGAUGCCGAGGCCAUGUGUCCCAGAGUGUAUGGGCCUCCGGGGGUUGCAUGAUGUGAGCCCUUUGGGAGGACACUCCCCAGGCUCGCCUGCAGGGCUUUGAGGUUUCCAGCGAGCUCAGCACUUAGCAGAACCGCCCUUUGUUAAUACUGACUUUUCGGAACGUUCAUGCCCGGGGGAGGAGGGCGGACAGUUUGCUCCUUUUGCAGUGGGGUGAGCCCUUUGUGCCUGAUGCCCCUGAAGCACGAUCGCUCUCAAAUCAUCGCCUGAAUUCAGACUCACUUCCCUAAAACAAAUUAUUGUUCAUGCUCACUGCUGGGGGAAAAAGAAUCUUUUUAUUUUAAAUUCCAGAAUAUUCUUGCCAUCAGCUCAAUAAAAUGCAGCUCCUACAGCUUGGACCUGGUCCUUUUUUUUCUGUGACCGAUUUCUGCCUAGCCAGGGGCCCCGGCACAGCGGCUACAGAAGGGCACCGCGAAGCUGGGAGCGAGGAUGUGGGGAGCAGUGAUGACUCUGCCAGAAGGGAUUGCGGGGAAGCCGCCUGACGCAGCCACGUGACGGUGCUGCCCACUGCGGUCUGCACAUCCACGCCGGUUUCUAAAGAAGACAGAAAUCUGGCUUUGUAUAUGACAUCUACUGAUUUUUUAAAAUAGGACCAAUUUUUUUUUUUUUAAUUUCUGCUUGAAAUAAAGCUGUGUCCAGGGCACCUGGGUGGCUCAGUGGGUUAAGCCUCUGCCUUUGGCUCAGGUCAUGGUCUCAGGGUCCUGGGUUCGAGCCGCGCAUUGGGCUCUCUGCUCGGCAGGGAGCCUGUUUCCCUUCCUCUCUCUCUCUGCCUGCCUCUCUGCCUACUUGUGAUCUCUGUCUGUCAAAUAAAUAAAUAAAAUCUUUAAAAAAAAAAAAAGAAAAGAAAUAAAGCUGUGUCCAAGGGCAAACCUUUGCACUUGACUCUGCUCUUCUAACAGGCAGAAAACACUGUCACGUUUUGCAAAAAGGAGAAAUGGGGCCCUCGUCUAUCGCACAGUGGCCUGGUCAUAGUGAGUAUCUAAUGCUUUUUGUUAUUAUUAUUGUUAGGGUUUUUUUUUUUAAGGUUUCAUUUAUUUAUCUGAGAGAGAGAAAUAAAGAGAACAUGGAGGGUCGGGAGGGCCAGAAGGAAAGAGAGAAGCAGGCUCCCGGCUGACCAGGGAAUCCGAUGUGGGACUCGAUCCCAGGACCUGGGGAUCAUGACCUGAGCCGAAGGCAGAUGUUUAACCAAUGGAGCCACCCAGGUGCCCUAUUUGAUAUGUCUUCAAUGAACAAAUGAAUGAUUGUUCUCUUGAACUUCAGGAAACCCCUAGGUGUAUUUCUACCAUUGAAAGGACUCCAUGUGUCCCUGCAUGUCUGGACCUGCCCUAAAAGUACAAAUACUAAUAUCUGGCAGUCACUCUCUUCCCUAUUCCUCGAAAGGAUGCUUUUCUCCACAGAGACACAGUCCAGAAAACAACCCUUCUUGGUACCUUAUGAUACAAUGUUUUAUUUACUAGACCUAAAUAUAAACUUUGGCUACAUUUUCUCACAGGAAGAAAUUCUUAAAAUGUUUAUUAUAUUUUCCUUCUUUUAUAUUUAGCCUUGUUCAAUUUUAUGUCUAGAAUUUUCUUCCCACUUUUAGUUUAUAAUCUACCUGCUAUCCUCCCAAAUUUCAUAAAUAGGCUGUCUAGUUUCCAUCAGGGAAUCUUGACACAAAGACAAGUGAUGGGAGUAUAAAGAUGGGGGUCUGGGACAUUUCUCCAUUUGCCUGGGAAGCAUUUAUCAAGGGCCCAUUCACUCAGCAUAUAUGUACGAGCACCUAGUACGUGCCAGGCACUGUUCCAGGCACUGUUCCAGGCACUGGGGAUAUAGCGGUAAACAAAGCUAAUCAAUGUCCCAGCCCUCAUGGAGUCUUCAUGUGAGCCAGGGGAAAGUAAACAAGGUAAGCACUACAGAGAGAAUACUGGGAUAGUGAUGUCCGUUCAGGAGAAAUACAUAAAGCCAUGAAAGGAAAUAAGGACAUUGCAAGGGGAGGGGAGUGAGGAGGAGGGGAAAGUUGAAAGUGCCAUCACCUGGUUGACUAUUUUUUUAAGAUUUUAUUUUUUUAAAGUAAUCUCUACACCCAACGUGGGGCUUGAACCCACAACCCCGAGAUCAAGAGUCAUAGGCUCUACUGACUGAGCCACCCAGGCGCCCCGGGUUUACUAUUUUAUUUCUAUUUUGAUGCCGGUCUGCCCAUGAGCUUUAUACAUUUAUCAACUAGACGUGAUGUUUUUCUUAAAAAUUAUGAAUUAUUUACCUAACAAAUGCAUCAAAUUAUUCCCCUCCCGUUUUGUUACAAGUGUUCCUCACCCCUCCUGACAAAUCUCCUUUCUCUCCAAAGCACCUCACUGGCAGCUUGUUGCUUUACUGACUCUUACUCCUUUUCCCUUCCUUCUUCCGCCCUUGCUCAUGGAGACGUGCGCUGAUUUCAUUCAUUUCAUAAACACCACGUCCCGCCUGACAGGGAGGGCGCUGGGAUCCCG
rnacentral:lncRNA from 1 species